CGCCUUAUAGCUGUCGGCUUCUUUUUCGCACUUGCUCUAGUAGGUUGGUCCUCCAUCUCCCAAAAAAAGAAGCGACACAUGUCCACAAGCCCACCAUGAGUUUGUAAUUUGACUUGAUAUAGAUAUGUCUUUGCAUUCCUUGCUGUCAAGAUGUUUUCUACCUUCAAAAUUUCAGGUUCAGAGCUAAGUACUCUUAACCGUUUGAGAUAUAAAAAUCCCUUGCAACUAGAUACCGAAGUUCAAAUGUGUUCAACGCCAUCAAAUAUAGCAUAAAAUGCAUCCAGCAUUAGCGAUACUAGCAGAGUAGCAGUAAAUAAGUAAAACAAAAAAAAUGCUUCUACACAUGGUAAGGGAAGGACUUUGACAUAGGUAUUUUUUUUUUGGGGGGGGGGGUGGGUGGGGAUUAUGUCGGCACAGGGGAAAACAAAAACAUCCUAUCUGCUUAUAAAUAACAAAGUUACAAAUCUUAAUUGUCGUUUACAACAAAAUCAUUCUUAAAGACUCGGCUCCCCAUUGAAAUUGUGUAAAUUGCAUAAAUAUCAAUACAACAGAUAUUAGACAGAAUAAUAUAUAUCAAAUAAAUUAACAACAGGCAAUUUCUUAGCCUGAGAUCCAAGGACUUUACAACUGGUUCAGCCUUGCAUCGCUACUAAACUACAGAAUCAAUCUAAGCAAGCACAUUGGCUCCAGUCAAUUGAUUUAAAAGAGUACUCUUGCCAGCAUUGGUGUACCCAACCUUGUUUCUCAGCCCAACAUGCACAAAAUCAACACCGUGUAGAAAACUAAAAACCACCACCAAAUAAAUGUGAAUUCGACAACGUCAACGUAUUUACUUACCAAAGAUACUAUAGGUACCGAAAGGUGGUGAUUACGAUACUGCUUUCUAUGCUUUCGGACAGAUUCUAACUCCUUGACAACACGAUCUAGUAUUACAGACAUUUUUACUGUCAAAUCAAUUUCCAGACAAAAAUCUACGGUUGUCAAGGAAGUAUAGGAGGAACGGCCAUAGUCUUUGGAGCCAUGAAAUUUACUGUCUUCUCAUGAACAUUGUACCUCCAAAAGCAUGAUGCAAUAAGCAUUCAAUAAUCUGACCUAGUUUGCUCAACAGAUGCUCCAAGAUAUUCCAAAACAAAGUCAUAGCAUUUUCACAUAGGGAACCGAAGAAUCUAUUGAUACCUUAUCUUGCAACUCUUAAGAGGCUCUUCUGUCAACAAUCUUCCUCUUCUAAGCAUGCAACUUUUUAAAGAAUAAAAGGUUUGUCUCUGCGAAUAAUCAAGUUCCAAGCCCACUAUUGAAAAUCAUGUUCAUCCACUCUACACUUCCAAAGCAGCAAACUAACAAUUUCAAAAGCUUUAAAUGCAAUCUGAAUACAUGGCAAGUAGGGGUAAACAUGUGAACAGAAAAAUCAGUGAACAUAAUCAAAUCGAAUAAGUCAAUUUUGGCCGAGAUUGAAAUGAAAAAAACAAGGAAAUGCUUUGUCUAUCGAUUUGUUUAUGAAAAUGGCUAUUCUACAAGAUACAGCAUGACAGGUCUUAGCUAGAACAAGUAACCGGCAUGGAAAUGCUUUAUGAAGCAAGAAUAUGAACUCAAGAGCUUUGUGCCAGAGAGACUUCAGAAAAAUGAAAAAAAAAAAUAUAAAAUAUGGGUAAGAAUAAACAUCGAUCAGACAAUAAUUCACGUAUAAAUCAUUUUUUCAACUUUAAAGUGGUGGCUUAAAAAGAAGCUUUAAACAAGUAGCAAUAAUUUCAUAUUGAAAAAUAAAACCUAUUUCAUGGAUAUUACAAGAGCAUUUAUUUUGAAAAACACACCUUUUGGUUCUUCGCUGCCUGACUUUUAAGAAGAUCUUUGUCCUUGUGACGAUUCAGAUUCUUUAAAAUAUCUUUGCAACGGAAUAAACAAAACCAAUCUAGGCCAAAAUUGACUUAUUCGAUUUGAUUAUGUUUACUGAUUUUUCUGUUCACAUGUUUACCCCUACUUGCCAUGUAGUUUUCGGGGUGUUAGAGCAUAGUGCUCUUCUCUUAACACACAAGUUUUGAUUUUAUUCUUCGUAAAUUAAGAGACCGUUUGAUAAUCAUUUCGUUUUCAGUUUAAAAAAUAUAAAAAACUAAAUGGAGUUUUCAAAAUUUGGCCUAGAAUUUUCGCUUUUGAUUUUUAAUUUUAAUUUUUUUUAAAACAACUGAAAACUAAAAAUAAUUACAAAAGGAAAUUUUCAGUUUUAAAUUUUCCAAAAAGUAAAAACUGAAAACUCUAAACUAUAGACUAAAAAUUAAAAAGUGAAAUCGAAAUGGGCUUUCAACGAAAUUGAAAAAAGACUGGGCUGAAUUAGUGAAUUCAAAGCAGGGCUUAUUAACUCUACGAGGCCCAAUGGAUCCGCAUAAAUAUUUAUCGAUAUUUUUACGCUACGAGACUCAAUGGAUCUGUAUAAAUAUUUUUUUUUUUUACAAACGAUAUUAUUUAUAUGGGCUUAACCUUAAAAUGAGCUAACAAUAAUGUGGUUCAAAUUUGCUUUUGACGAGAAUCGAACAUAAAACUUCUUACUUACAAAUGAAAAGAAAUACCACUAAAUCGUAGUCUGAGUGGCUCGUUAUUUUAUUUUAUAUUUUAAUAAAAAAGAAAGAAAGCAAUGAAAAGCUGUACAUAAACUAAAUACAAAAAGGAAUGAAAUGAAGAAGAGUGGGAGACGAACGUUUAAUUCAAGAUAAAGAAAGAAAGGUAAUCGCACCACGACGGCGGCGACGUGGCGGUCAUUUAACGGAAAAUAACAGACAAAUCAGCCUCCAGAUCAAGUCUUGAAGCACAACUCUGAAAAAUCGAGACUACCUACAGCUGAGCUCCGACCAACCGUUGAUGGAUGCAAUCCGGAAGCUCAGAGAUCAGGUCGCCAAGCAACAGCAGGUACUCUCUCUCUUGUUUGAUUCCGAAUUUGUAUUUCUGUAUGGAUUUUGAUACGAGCAUAAUCUGCGUUGAUUGCGAGAUACUAAGAUUGCUUAAUGAAAUGAUAUUUAUAUAAUUGUUCGAAUUGCAUUGGAUCGAUUCGAGUAGAAUUUCACUAUUUCUGAGCUGUUUGGGGCUGUGUUAGAGUGCAAUGUUGCUGAAUUUCUGAAAUUUUGAGCUAGGUGUUGCUGAUUACUUAUCGAUUUUCGGAUUUAAUUGGAUGCUUAAUUUACAUUUUCGGAAAACUUCAAGCGAAAAUGGCAUAUAAUUCAACGUUCUAUGCCUCAUUAAUGCAUAAGAGUUAGUCGAAGCUUGAUCGAGUUUGCUUUUGAUUAUUUUGUGAACACCGUCAGGCUGUGUUCAAACAAUUUUCUGGUGGCAUAUAUGGGGGAUCGGAUAAUGUUGCCUCGGAUGAAAAUGAAUUUCAACAGCAUCAGAAACUCGAGAAGCUGUACAUAUCAACUCGUGCUGCCAAGGUUGCUACGCUUAUUUUUGUCUGUGCUUUAAACGAGCAUCACGUUAGUUGUGUUACCUAUCGUUUUUUGCUUCUUCUUUAACAGCAUUACCAAAAGGAAAUUGUCCGCGGAGUGGAAGGUUACAUUGUGGCCGGUUCAAAGCACGUUGAAAUAGGUAUGUUGCUUGAAAUGUGUUGUCUUUUCUUGGGAGUUUGGAUAUGAAUUCAUGUUGGUUUUAUCAGUUGGUAUACAUGAUACUUUUUCAACAGGUACCAGGCUAUCAGAAGAUAGCAGGAAAUAUGGUUCUGAAAAGACUUGCACCAGUGGUAACACAUUGUCCAGAGCUGCACUGAGUUUUGGAAGAGCUCGGGCCCAAAUGGAAAAAGAGUGUGGAGUUCUACUUAAAGCUCUUGGCACACAGGUUUAAGUCAAAUUAUUACUAACAAAGCUCAACAACAACAACAACAACAACAACAACAAAGCCUUUUCUCACUAAGUGGGGUCGGCUAUAUGAAUCCUAGAACGCCAUUGCGCUCGGUUUUGUGUCAUGUCCUCCGUUAGAUCCAACUACUCUAAGUCUUUUAGGUCUUCCUCUACCCCUUCGGCCCUGAACCUCUGUCCUAUAGUCACAUCUUCGAACCAGAGCGUCAGUAGGCCUUCUUUGCACAUGUCCAAAUCACCGGAACCGAUUUUCUCUCAUCUUUCCUUCAAUUUUGGCUACUCCUACUUUACCUCAGAUAUCCUCAUUCCCAAUCUUAUCCUUUCUCGUGUGCCCACACAUCCAACGAAGCAUCCUCAUCUCCGCCACACCCAUUUUGUGUACGUGUUGAUGCUUCACCGCCCAACAUUCUGUGCCAUACAACAUCGCUGGCCUUAUUGCCGUCCUAUAAAAUUUUCCCUUGAGCUUCAGUGACCUAUGACGGUCACACAACACGCCGGAUGCACUCUUACACUUCAUCCAUCCAGCUUGUAUUCUAUAGUUGAGAUAUCCAUCUAAUUCUCCGUUCUCUUGCACGAUAGAUCCUAGGUAGCGAAAACGGUCGCUUUUUGUGAUCUUCGCUAGAUUGCUCCGGUCAUUAGUGUGGAUAAGUAUAUAAAUGGAUAGAGACAGGAAAGCAAACACAAGAUGUACGUGGUUCACCCAGAUUGGCUACGUCCACGGAAUAGAGAAGUUCUCAUUAAUUGUGAAGGGUUUACACAAGUACAUAGGUUCAAGCUCUCCUUUAGUGAGUACAAGUGAAUGAUUUAGUACAAAUGACAUUAGGAAAUAUUGUGGGAGAAUGAUCUCGUAAUCACGAAACUUCUAAGUAUCGGAGUGCGGUAUCGUCUUGACUUGCCUUAUCUGUCUCAUAGGUAGAUGUGGCAUCUUCUUUGGAAGUACUCUUCCUCCAUUAGGGGUGGUAUCUUUAACUGGUGGAGAUGCACAAGGUAAUGUAUCAAUUUCACUUGAAGCUUACUUGUAGUUUCAGGCUUGGUCAAGCGCGAUACAAACCAUGUAGUAGGAGUCCCCCAAGUCGCCGAGCUAGAGGAUCUGCUGAAAGAGGUGACAGACAAGGUAAGCAAUCAGAGCUCCGGCUGAUUGUUCACAUUCUCCCUAUCUUGCAGGCAGCAUGAAGGAUAAAGAGAAGAACAUGAGAAGAGAUGAUAUGGGAUACUUUUGCUUUUGAAGAAGUAACUUUCCACAGGCUUAUUCUUGAACUGAGCUGGAGGGUUUUCUGGUUUCCUCCAGAGUAUAAGGCCGACUGAAGAAUUUGAGGGUCAAAACAAGUCCAUCAAAUCUAGAGUACGUUCGACCCUGCUGAUAUGGGAUACUUUUGCUUUGACAGAGUAAUGGAUGUAUCGGCACGUGUGCUGUUUCGCUUGUCUCCACAUGCUUCCUUGUAUCCUUCUCCCUUGCCCUAUCUGUUCCUCAGGCAGAGAUGCGGUAUCUUCCCUGGAAGCAUAAGAUGUUGAAGAUGAGUACUUGAGAGCAAUGGCAGGUAAGUAAUCAGGUAAGGGGUUCCAGGCAGUCAGUUCCUGGCUGGAAGCUUGAUUCCAAGUGCUGACUGAUUGCUCUCUUUCUCCUUGUCUUGCAGAUAAGAACAAGGCCAAAGGAAAAGACAGGGAAAAAAGCAUGAUAUGGAGAUACUCUUGCUUUUAACCCUGAUGAUAUGAGAUAUUCUUGCUCUAGUAUAGCUUGUUUGCAGAGGAUAUUAUCGGGGGGAAAGAAAGCUGAAUAUUUCGAAAGGCUUCGUUGGGAGUGCCCUCUCAGAUAUGAGGAAGGGUUGAGCAUUUUUGCAGGUCUGCCUGUCCGUUGGGAAUGGAGGUCGACAUAUAUAGGAAUCUCCUUAACAACAAGUAGUAAUGCUAUUCCUUUACCCUACUUGGUCAUAGCACGGUAGUGGGAGCUGCCAGCUUCACAUGUUUUAACUCUGUCAGAGCACUUUGAAAAAGUGGUCUGUGGUAUCUGGAAAUGUGAUGUUGCGUGUGAAGAUUACAGACAGCUUUAUCCAAGGAGAUCCGGCUCUUGAAGUUGGGAAAGUGUUGCCUCUUCGGUUUUCGAACAAGCAAUCCUAUCGGGGAUCUGGCUCUCGAGAUUCGGAGAACGAUGCCUCUUCGAUUUUUGAGAAAGCAAUCAUGCUGGGGGUCUGGCUCUCGAGAUUUGGAGAGCGGUGUCUCUUCGAUUUUUGAGAAAGUAAUCAUGUUGGGAGUCUGGCUCUCGAGAUUCGGAGGGCGGUGCCUCUUCGAUUUUGGAGCAAGCAAACUUGUUGGGAGUGUUUUCUCGAAUGUGAGUAAAGGUUGGGCAUGUUUGCUAGUCUACCUUGCCACGAAGCACAGAGGUUGACACAUAGGGACUUUCCAAUUAUCCAGCAAUGGUACUGUUCCUUUACCCUCUCUUCGAUUUUUGAGAAAGUAGUCAUGUUGGGAGUCUGGCUCUCGAGAUUCGGAAGGACGGUGCCUCUUCGAUUUUGGAGCAAGCAAUCUUGUUGGGAGUGUUUUCUCGAAUGUGAGUAAAGGUUGGGCAUGUUUGCUAGUCUACCUUGCCACGAAGCACAGAGGUUGACACACAGGGACUUUCCAAUUAUCCAGCAGUGGUACUGUUCCUUUACCCUUGUGGGUAAUAAUAUGGUAGCUAGACCUUCAAAAUUUAUGUGUCUAAACUUUGUUAGUGCUGUUUCUUUGCUAUUGUUUUUACCCUUCUUGGUCAGAGCGAUGUAGUGGGAGCUGCAAGCUUCACGUGCUCAACUUUGGCAGAGAACUUUGGCAAAGUUAUCUGUGGUACCCAUGAGCUACUGUUGCGUGUGGGAAGUGGGUGAUUGAACAGUAAGAUUCAUGUGCUUUCUACUUCACCAGAAGUCUUCGACAGAAUGCCCAUAAUUUCCGCAAAGCUGAGUGUGCGUGUGACAGGUGCUGACAAGGCUGGAAAAGUAGGUGCCUCUUCGAUUUCUGAGAUCGGCCCUCGUGGUCUCUGAGCAGCCCAGCUUUUGAGAAAGCAAGCGCCUCUUCGAUUUCUGAGAUCGGCCUUCGUGGUCUUUGAGCAACCCAGCUUUUGAGAAAGCAAACGCCUCUUCGAUUUCUGAGAUCGACCCUCGUGGUCUCUGAGCAGCCCAGCUUUUGAGAAAGCAAACGCCUCUUCGAUUUCUGAGCAGGCGCCUUCUUCGAUUUCUGAAGCUCCGUCGAGUGCAGAUUUUUAUAGGGGCUGGCAUUAAGUUCCAAAGCACACUUGAAUCUCCACCAGUAGAAGCUCCAUUCUUGCACUUCUAAGAUCUUGAUUUGUCCGACCUCUUCUCUCUUCAACACCUUUGAAAAUGUCUGGCCCCUCCGACCGUCGUUUUUGACUUGAACCUUGUUGAAGAGGCAGCCACGCCUUCUCCAGACAACAUAUGGCGCCCAUCAUUCGUCUCCCCUACUGGUCCUCUUACCGUUGGGGAUUCCGUGAUGAAGAAUGAUAUGACCGCUGCGGUGGUGGCCAGGAACCUUCUCACUCCCAAAGAUAACAGACUACUUUCCAAACGGUCUGAUGAGUUAGCUGUUAAGGAUUCUCUGGCUCUCAGUGUUCAGUGUGCAGGUUCUGUGUGUCUAAUAUGGCCCAACGCCUAUUUGCUCGAACCCGCCAAGUUGAAUCAUUGGCGGCUGAAGUGAUGAGUCUCAAACAGGAGAUUAGAGGGCUCAAGCAUGAGAAUAAACAGUUGCACCGGCUCGCACAUGACUAUGCUACAAACAUGAAGAGGAAGCUUGACCAGAUGAAGGAAUCUGAUGGUCAGGUUUUACUUGAUCAUCAGAGAUUUGUGGGUUUGUUCCAAAGGCAUUUAUUGCCUUCGUCUUCUGGGGCUGUACCGCGUAAUGAAGCUCCAAAUGAUCAACCUCUGAUGCCUCCUCCUUCUAGGGUUCUGUCCAGUACUGAGGCUCCGAAUGAUCCCCCUCCGGUGCCUUCUCUUUCUGGGGCUCUACCGACUGCUGAGACUUCUCCUAAGCAACCUUUGUGAAGGCUCCCUCUUGUUUGUUUAUUUUGACUCAUGUAUAUGUACAUAUUUGUAGCUUAUCGGGGAUAUCAAUAAAUAAGCUUUCCUUCAUUUCAACGUAUUGUGUUAAAUACACCAAAGCCUUCUUCGCUAAGUUCUUUGAAUUUUCUUUUGUUGAAGCUUUGUGAGUGGAGCAUGUAGGUUGAGGUAGUGUUCCCUUAAUUUUCCGAGUGAGGAAAACUUCUCGGUUGGAGACUUGGAAAAUCCAAGUCACUGAGUGGGAUCGGCUAUAUGAAUCUUAGAACGCCAUUGUGCUCGGUCCUGUGUCAUGUCCUUCGUUAGAUCCAAGUACUCUAAGUCUUUUCUUAGAGUCUCUUCCAAAGUUUUCCUAGGUCUUCCUCUACCCCUUCGGCCCUGAACCUCUGUCCCAUAGUCGCAUCUUCUAAUCGGAGCGUCAGUAGGCCUUCUUUGCACAUGUCCAAACCACCGUAACCGAUUUUCUCUCAUCUUUCCUUCAAUUUCGGCUACUCCUACUUUACCCCGGAUAUCCUCAUUCCUAAUCUUAUCCUUUCUCGUGUGCCCACACAUCCAACGAAGCAUCCUCAUCUCCGCUACACCCAUUUUUGUGUACGUGUUGAUGCUUCACCGCCCAACAUUCUGUGCCAUACAGCAUCGCCGGCCUUAUUGCCGUCCUAUAAAAUUUUCCCUUGAGCUUCAGUGGCAUACGGCGGUCACACAACACGCCGGAUGCACUCUUCCACUUCAUCCAUCCAGCUUGUAUUCUAUGGUUGAGAUCUCCAUCUAAUUCUCCGUUCUUUUGCAAGAUAGAUCCUAGGUAACGAAAACGGUCGCUCUUUGGUAUUUCUUGAUCUCCGAUCCUCACCCCUAACUCGUUUUGGCCUCCAUUUGCACUGAACUUGCACUCCAUAUAUUCUGUCUUUGAUCGGCUUAGGCGAAGACCUUUAGAUUCCAACACUUCUCUCCAAAGGUUAAGCUUUGCAUUUACCCCUUCCUGAGUUUCAUCUAUCAACACUAUAUCGUCUGCGAAAAGCAUACACCAAGGAAUAUCAUCUUGAAUAUGUCCUGUUAACUCAUCCAUUACCAACGCAAAAAGGUAAGGACUUAAGGAUGAGCCUUGAUGUAAUCCUACAGUUAUGGGAAAGCUUUCGGUUUGUCCUUCAUGAGUUCUUACGGCAGUCUUUGCUCCUUCAUACAUAUCCUUUAUAGCUUGGAUAUAUAUGCUACUCGUACUCCUUUCUUCUCUAAAAUCCUCCAAGAAUGUCUCUUGGGACCCUAUCAUACGCUUUUUCCAAAUCUAUAAAGACCAUGUGUAAAUCCUUUUUCCCAUCUCUAUAUAUCUUUCCAUCAAUCUUCGUAAGAGAUAGAUUGCCUCCAUGGUUGAGCGCCCUGGCAUGAACCCGAAUUGGUUGUCCGAAACCCGUGUCUCUUGCCUCAAUCUAUGCUCAAUGACUCUCUCCCAGAGCUUCAUUGUAUGACUCAUUAGCUUAAUACCCCUAUAGUUCAUGCAAUUUUGUACGUCGCCCUUAUUCUUGUAGAUAGGCACCAAAGUGCUCGUUCGCCACUCAUUUGGCAUCUUCUUCGUUUUCAAAAUCCUAUUGAAAAGGUCAGUGAGCCAUGUUAUACCUGUCUCUCCCAAAACUUUCCACACUUCGAUUGGUAUAUAUCGUCUGGGCCUAUUGCUUUUCUAUGCUUCAUCUUCUUCAAAGCUACAACCACUUCUUCCUUCCGGAUUCGACGAUAAAAAGAGUAGUUUCUACACUCUUCUGAGUUACUCAACUCCCCUAAAGAAGCACUCCUUUCAUGUCCUUCAUUGAAAAGAUUAUGAAAAUAACCUCUCCAUCUGUCUUUAACCGCGUUCUCUGUAGCAAGAACCUUUCCAUCCUCAUCCUUGAUGCACCUCACUUGGUUUAGGUCCCUUGUCUUCUUUUCCCUUGCUCUAGCUAGUUUAUAGAUAUCCAACUCUCCUUCUUUGGUAUCUAGUCGUUUAUACAUAUCGUCGUAAGCCGCUAACUUAGCUUCUCUCACAGCUUUCUUCGCCUCUUGCUUCGCUUUUCUAUACCUUUCACCAUUUUCAUCGGUCCUAUCCUUGUAUAAGGCUUUACAACAUUCCUUCUUAGCCUUCACCUUUGUUUGUACCUCCUCAUUCCACCACCAAGAUUCCUUUUGGUGUGGGGCAAAGCCCUUGGACUCUCCUAAUACCUCUUUUGCUACUUUUCGGAAUACAACUAGCCAUGGAAUCCCACAUUUGGCUAGCUUCCCCCUCUCUAUCCCACACACACUGGGUGAUUACUUUCUCUUUGAAAAUGGACUUGUUUUUUUCUUCUUUUAGAUUCCACCAUCUAGUCCUUGGGCACUUCCAAGUCUUGUUCUUUUGUCUCACUCUUUUGAUAUGUACAUCCAUCACCAACAAGCGAUGUUGAUUAGCCACGCUCUCUCCUGGUAUAUAACUUUGCAAUCCUUACAAGUUAUACGAUCCCCUUUCCUCAUUAGAAGAAAAUCUAUUUGUGUUUUUGACGACCCACUCUUGUAGGUGAUCACAUGUUCUUCUCUCUUCUUAAAGAAGGUGUUGGCUAAGAAAGAGAUCAUAUGCCAUUGCAAAAUCCAAGAUAGCUUCCCCAUCCUCGUUUCUCUCCCCAAAACCAUGGCCACCAUGAAAACCUCCAUAGUUGCCUGUCUCCCUGCCCACGUGUCCAUUUAAAUCUCCUCCUAUAAAUAACUUCUCCGUCUGAGCAAUUCCUUGCACCAAGUCUCCAAGGUCUUCCCAAAAUUUCUCCUUCGAACUCGUAUCCAACCCUACUUGAGGUGCGUACGCACUAAUCACAUUGAUAAGUUCUUGUCCUAUUACAAUCUUGAUUGCCAUGAUUCUAUCUCCUACCCUCUUGACAUCUACAACAUCUUGUGUCAAGGUCUUGUCCACGAUGAUGCCAACACCGUUUCUCGUUCUAUUUGUGCCCGAAUACCAAAGUUUAAACCCUGAGUUUUCUAGAUCCUUUGCCUUACUACCAACCCACUUAGUUUCUUGUAGGCACAUAAUAUUUAUCCUUCUCCUCACCAUAACUUCCACUACUUCCAUAGAUUUUCCCGUUAAGGUUCCUAUAUUCCACGUUCCUAAACGCAUUUUGCUCUCUUGAACUCUACCCUUCUGUCCUAACUUCUUCACCCUCCCCCGUUUAAUAAGAUCAAAGUACUUCUUUUGUGUGUCCCGUGUAAAGUUGAUAGGAGCAUAUGCUCCCAAACAACUUUGAGUGGAGUCGUUCGAAAAGAAGUUUCUAUGGCCCCCUUGCUCAUUUAACACUGCAUCCGGGUGCCGAUGGAGAUACAGUGACCCUUGCUCACUUAUCACUGUGCUCGGGCCACACAGCGCGCCACUUACGGGUGACGCCCUAGCUUUAGCGCGAUUUUGUUCUGGAUUCAUUUUCAUAAGGAUUCGACGUGAUCAUGGAGUGCCGGCUGUCGACUACCUGACGUCCUCCCCCUCCUCCUUUAUCCGGGCUUGGGACCGGCAAUGUAACAAAGCUCAUUAAGUAAAAUUCAAAUAUUGCCUGGGCCGGCUUCAUACAAAUGGAAUUUCAACUGACUAAUUUUCGUGUGCAUUUGAUCAUUUCGAAAGAAAUUUACAGUAAAAAUUGUUUCCAUUUUCACGUGUGGUUCAAGAACUGGACUACUUUUUGUGUUAUUAUGCAUCAUAUGACAAACUGGUUCACCGUUUCUUUCUAUAGGUUUGCAUAAUAACUCCUUCUGUGCUUAUCAAUUUGCCUGUGUAGGUUGCAGAGCCUUUAAGAGCAAUGAUAGUGGGAGCGCCCUUGGAGGAUGCUUGACAUCUUGCUCAACAAUAUGCUAGAAUGCGGCAAGAAGCUGAAGCUCAGGUAUAUGCAGUUUCUUCUGUUUCCUCCCAAUUUUAUACUACAGUGAUUUUACAUGUUACGUGGUGAUCGUACAUUUCUUCGUUUAACUUUUUUUGUUUUCUUUUAAAAGUGUUUGUUCAUUUUGAGACAAUCAUGCAUUGGUAUUCAUAGAGAACGCAAAAUCUUAAGAUGUUUAAUGUAAACUUGUUAAGAUUGCUUUAUUACUUGAAGCUUUGUUGUAAUUUGGUUUUUGGUUUUUUUUUUAUUACUCCUUCAGAUUUGUCUAUAUAUACUAACUUGCACCGGGAUUCUGCAGGUAAUGCUGACAUUAUCAUGAAACUAGAAGCUGCUGAAGCCAAGCUUCAGGAGCUGCAGUCUACCGUUGCAAUAUUGGGAAAAGAAGCUAGUGCAGCUAUGGCUGCUGUUGAAGGUCAACAACAAAGAUUGACUCUUCAGCAGCUUCUUGCAAUGGUAAAGGAUUGCCUCCCCUUUUUGUUUAAGUAUGAAGACCUUGGCCUGUUCUAGUUACAAGACUGAAAAGGAAAUUAAUUUUGUAAAUUUGUCCUUUUUCAUCCCCAUUCAAGGUGGAAGCAGAGCGCAACUAUCAUCGGAACGUUCUUCAGAUACUUGAUCAGCUUGAAGGCGAGGUAUGAAAUAUCCUAAAGUCUUCCUUUCAGCAUGACAAUUUCGUAUCCCAAUUCAUUUGGCUCUAUAUUAUUCUAUUGUCUUGCUACUAAAAGCAGAGAUCAUUGACACUAUUUGUUGGGACAGAUUUUGGCAGAAAAGCAGCAAAUUGAAGCAUCGCAUAGUCCACCUACAGAGGACACUAUGCCUCCACUACCAUCGUAUGAGGAUCUCAGCCGUAGCUUUGCUUCUGAAACCUAUGAUGAAUUGACAGAGUUGAGGGACUCUUUCUUUGGAGGGGUAUCUUUAUGCUAAUGUUGUUGUAUCCAAGUUUUAGUCUGUUCGACUCUUUAGUUUCUAAUAACUGUUUCUUUUCACCUACCGCAGGUUAUGUACACCUUCCACGCUGUAACUGAUGUGGAGUUAAGUUUGUCAUUCGGGGAUUACAUUGUGGUCCGGAAGGUUCUGUCGUCUUUCCUGCUUGCAUGCUUUCAUCUUAUAUUCAUGUUCGGAUUUAUUUCUUUCGUAUUGAGGUUAAAUUUUCAUGUUCAGAGACGUCCACUCAGGUAUGUUCGUCAAUGCAUAUGCAUUAGCACACCACCGAGUGCAUUAGAAUAUGGAUUUCAGUUUUGGAUGCUUCAUGCAUUAAUGUAGUUUGUGUGGUUUUGGUUAUUGCUGCCGCUGAGCGUGAGUGGCUUUCUGUAGUUGCUGAGAGUUAUAUUGUGAGCAUAAUUCAUACAGCAGCUUUCAUAUACGGCACAUGUAGUCGGCAGCACUGCAUUUAGAAAGAGAGAGUUAUAUUUUCUUCACUGUUUAUUCAAAACUUAUAUGUUGCAUGUUCUGGCUUUUAAAGUGAGUCGGCAUCAGAGUUUUUAUUUGAGAAAAAUCAGUUUUGUGUCCAUGUGUUUUCAAAGAAAAUAUUUUAGUUUUUAAUCACUGAUUUUUCAUUGUGCUUCAAUUAGAAAUUAAUUAUGAGAAUCUGCCUUGUGAUUUUCGUAAUUGGUUGAUUCAAAAAAUCUUUACAUUUCAUACAUUUUGCAUGAUCUCGUUAGUAUCUUGCAAAGUUCAAUGACACAGUGAUUGACGGUCGCGUUAGUGUCGUGCCACUUUCACUUGAAAGCUGAAGAGAGAUCGAGUAGCAAAGCGCAAUGAAAAAAAUUGCAUACUAGUAUGUGGGCAGUGGCGGAUCCAGGAUUUUAAACUCGGGGGGUCCCAAUAAUAAAUUUCAAAAAAAUUAUAGACAAAAAUAACAUUAAAAAGUUAAAUAUAAUACAUUUCAUUCAAAAUCAUACGCAAAACAACAUUACAAGCUAUAAAAUCACAAAACAACAAAUCGUCGUUUUUUCUUUGCAUGCAAAGUGUAUGGGAACUCAUGCUUUGUAGGCCUACAAGGUCCCAUUUGCAAAUAUGUUCUUUGAACCUCAUCUUGAAUAUUAGAAGAAUAGUCCUUCAUUCGAAUUCUUUUUCUUGGGUCUCUCUCAAGAUUAUUAAAAUCAACGUCACACUCAUUUUGUCUUGAGCUCGAACUACCAGAACAAAUAAAUGGUGCUAUUGGCUUUGGAAGGAAAAAUCUUUCCAUAUUUCUUAUUUGUAAACUACAUAUUUAAGCAAAAACAGAAAACAUAUACCGAUUAACCAAUAAACAAAAAUUCCAUCUAAAUUCCAAUGAUAAAAUGAGUAUACAAACAUAAAACAUAUCAACAAUCAUAUCAAUAAUAGACUAAAAAUCUCCAUCAAUAUCUAAUAUAAUUUAAUUGAGAUUAGAUUAGAAUUCUAAAAAACUUAAUUGAAUUUUGAACCAAAUAGUGGUGGAGUGGAGAAUUAAAACAAGUGGAUGUAUGAUAUUGGACUUACGUAAUUAUAAUAUGGGAUUGGGUCAUGGGUGAGAUUAGAAAUUUAGGGUUUUGAAAUGGGGGGAAAGAGGGAACCAAAUAAUAGGGAAUUGGGGGAAAAGCAGCAGGGAAAGAGAGAACUUUGGGGAAGGGCUCAGGGGGGCUGGGCUUUAAAAUUAAAGCAAUAUUGAGUCAUCAUGCAUGGCAAACGACAACGUUUGUCUACCUUUUUGUUUUUUUAUACUUAAAACAAUGGGCCAAAACACAGCCGUUUUGGACCAAUUGGUAAAAACCCCUAUUUUCUUUCUUCUUCCCGCAGCGUCUUCUUCUUCACUGCUACCUGCAACUGCAACCUGCAACCUGCACAGCAGCUCAAACCUUGUGUUCGAGGGGUCCCCCGGAAAUUUUCUAACAGGGAUUUAGGGUCGCCGAAGGGUCCUAGGACCUCCCAGGUCCCUCUGUAGAUCCGCCACUGUAUGUGGGUCUAGUUAAUGAGUUUUGUAAGUCUUUCUAUACUCAUUUCUCUUAUUAUUUGUCAUGACUUAAGAGUCUGAGGAUUUUCUCAGUGGUGAGUUUUACCUUGUUAAAUCCUACAUCAUAUGUACACAUGUUAUUUGUCUUUUUAUUGCAAAUGUGUAGGAUAAUCUUUCACUUAUUUUCUUAUAGUGAACUCUAUCUUAGACAUUCAUCAACAUAUAGAGUUUACGACAGAGGACUUUUGCUACUAUUAUUCAGUGCAUUGAUUAAUUUGUAAAGCGCUCAUUUAUCCUAAUUAUAAAAUAUAAUGUGUACAAGACAUUAAAAAAAUGGAAGUGUCUUUCAACAGUUUGAAUGUCAUGUAUGGCCAUAUCCUUUAUUUCCACCAUUCUUAUCAACCGAAUGCGGAGAGAUUGUCUUUAUCUCACAAACCCAUAAUGUGGCAAUCGUCCAUUAGAAAGGUAACGUACGUUUUGAAAAUCGUGGCAAAUAUUGAAUGAGUAAUGAUGCCUCUAAAAAUAAAGUAACGAAUAAUCAACAGAAGUAGCAGUACAUCAAGUUGGAUCUUUUUCAAUGUUGAAAUGAAAUAUGAAAGUAGAUCAAGUUGCUAUUAUUCAUCCUUUUUUUUUUUUUAAAUAAACAAUAUUGUUUACAUUAAGAAGAGGAAGAAGUUAGCUAAGUCUUACAAUACGCUAGCAAUAAUAUGGUUAAAAUUCGCAUUUGGUAAUAAUCAAACCUAAGACUUCUCACGUACAAGUGAAGAAAAAUUUCAUUAGACCGUAACAUUAUUCAUCCACUUUUACAUAAUGAAUAAUCAAGAAAAACAUUGCACGGGUCCCCCUUACCACUAGUGGCCAUCACUUCCCUGAGCAAAAGAGAUCUUUCAAAUGGAGGAGGAUUCUUUACCUUCCUAUUUCCAUUCUCUUCCAUUUUCUCAUCUCACACAUUACUUUUUAUCUUAUUAUCUCUAUAAAUAAAUCAAUAUAAAAUGUUGACACACAUUACUUUUUAUCUUAUUAUCUCUAUAAAUAAAUCAAUAUAAAAUGUUGACGUGGUUUAACUGUGACUGUUCCAAUAGAAGGAGAUGGAAAAGUAGAGAUAUUAGGAGGGUAGAGAAUCCUACUUCUUUUCCAAUUGCUUGAUCAAAACAAGCAUUGACUUGGCCGUCCAUUCAUCGAUAACAGGUCCACAUCUCAAUCCAAAUAUAAUGACGUCAAAGGAGAGGGGAAAAUGAGAAGGAAACUUUGGAGGGUAGAGGGAAGGAAAAGGAGAAAGGGAGAAAGGGAGAAAGUAGAAGGGAAAAGUAGAAAGAGAAGAAGGAAAAUGAGAGGAAAUUUCGGAGAAUAGAGAAAAUGAGAAGGAAACUUUGGAGGGUAGAGGGAAGGAAAAGUAGAAAGAGAAGAAGGAAAAUGAGAGGAAAUUACAAGUGCCACAUUAUUAUGCGGUUCUAUCAAGUUUUAAUUUUUGUCUCAUAACCACAUCAUUUUUAGGAAAAUCAAUAUUGGAGUUGAAUAUAUAAACCUUCGAUAUGGUGAUAUUGGAAACAAUAGUUGGUGGGUUGAUUGGUAGAAAUGGUUCCAACAAUUCAAGGACGAGAAAUGAGCAUUGAGCAACGAUCAAAAUAUGUUGUAUUUUAUUACAAAAGAUCUUUGUGCAAUUAAAAAUGCAUUUUAUCACAAAAACAUGAGCAACGAUCAAUAUAAUUGUUAUUUAUAAAAUCACACAUAAAACAAGAAGUAAUCUUUUCUUUUUCUUUUCAUCCCUGCCACUAGCGGCCGACCAUGACUUAAUUAAAGAAACGCUUUUUGGGUUAAUGGAUGGGAACGACCCAUUUUAUAAUUGUUUGUAAAUUUUUCUGGAAGUAGAUGUAAAUGACCCAAUUACAUAUUUCCCCUGCUCACAGACGUUUGCAUUGCACCUAGCAAACACCAGUUUUUUUGUUUAAGCAUCGAUCCACAUCAAUGGCUCUUGUGAGAACAUCUCCAGGAACCUCAUCUGAUUCCAACAAUUUUCGGGGUUAUCGCUACGACGUGUUCUUAAGCUUCAGAGGCGAAGACACUCGCAAGACUUUUACCGACCACCUCUACACAGCCUUGAACAACGCAGGAUUUCUUACGUUCCGAGACGACGAUGAACUUGAGAGAGGAGAAGAUAUAAAGCCAGAACUGCAGAAAGCGAUACAGCAGUCACGAACUUCUGUUGUCGUGUUUUCGAAAGAUUACGCGUCAUCCAGGUGGUGUCUUGAUGAGCUUGUGCUGAUCCUUGAACGCAAGAGGACCACCUCGGACCAUGUAGUUUUACCAGUCUUCUACGAUGUCGAUCCGUCCCACGUGAGGAAGCAGACAGGAAGUGUUGGAAAAGCAUUUGCUAGAAGCCAGAAAAAUCAGUCGUCGGAAAAGGUGGAGGGAUGGAGGAAGGCACUUGCAGAGAUUGCAGACCUAGCAGGCAUGGUCUUAAAAAAUCAAGCUGAUGGGUAACUUUCAUUAUCUCCAUUUCUCUUCUCUUUGUUGGGUCAAUUUGAUGUAUGAUCCGUAGUGACAUAGAUUUUUAUAUAUUUAUUAAUUCAAUCUCAGUAGUGAAUAAUAAUCCCAAUUUAGGUCAACUUAAAGAAAGCACACUCAACUCAACUUAAGGAUUAGUCAUUUUCCAUGUUAAUCUACUGGUUUCCAGGUGCUUAAAUUUUGUUUGAAAGCUGGUGUGGAAAAAAGUUAGGAUGUGAUCUGUUUUGUAUUUGUCUAUAGUUUGUAUAAAUUAUGCGCUGUAUUCUUUUUUUUUUUCAAUUUAAUUUUGUCAGGCAAUCAACAUAUGUUUUAAUUAUCUAAUUUCCCCAAUUCAUUUUUCAUUUUGUUUGCAAAUUCUUAGGUACGAGGCAAAGUUUAUCGAAAAAAUUGUUAAAGUGAUAGAAGACAAGUUAAGUCGUAUGCCAUUGAGUGUUGAACCAAAAUUGAUUGGUAUUCAAUAUCAAGCCGAACGCAUCAAUUUGUGGUUACAAGAUGGAUCAAGUGGUGUUGGUAUAUUUGUUGUGUAUGGCAUGUCUGGAAUCGGGAAGACAACCAUUGCAAAACAUGUUUACAAUUCAAACUUUAGAAGCUUUCAAGGAAGUAGUUUCAUUGAAAAUAUCAAAGAAACAGCAGAUCGACCAAAUGGCUUAGUUCAAAUACAAAUGCAACUUCUUUGUGAUAUUUUGAACGGCAGAGAAGUGAAAAUACACAGUGUUAGUGAGGGAAUAAUUAAGAUUGAAAAGGCCAUAAGCUCUAAAAGAGUUCUACUUGUUCUUGAUGAUGUUGACCAUAUGGACCAAUUAGAUGCAAUCCUAAGGAUGAAAGAUCAGUUUUAUCCUGGAAGUAAGAUACUAAUAACAACUAGGCGUGAAAGGUUGUUAAAGGCUGAUCAAGUUACAGAGGUGCACAGAGUUCAAACUUUGGAUGACAAUGAAUCAUUAAAGCUUUUCAGUUGGCAUGCUUUUGGCCAGGACCAUCCCAUAGAAGAAUACAUGGAGCACUCAAAACAGAUAGUGCAACAUAGUGGCGGACUUCCAUUAGCUCUAAAAGUUUUGGGUUCUUCUUUAUCAGGAGGAAGUAUAGGUGUAUGGGAAAGUGCAUUGGAGAAGCUAAAAGUUAUUCCUGAUGGUGAAAUCAUGAGUAAACUAAGAAUAAGCUAUGAAAGUUUAAAAGAUGACCAUGACCGGAAAUUAUUCCUCCACAUUGCUUGUUUCCUAAUAGGAAGGAACAAAAGCUACAUUGUUAGAAUAUUCGAUGGAUGUGAUUUCUAUACAAUCAUUGGCAUUCAAAAUCUCAUUGAUAGAUGCUUGGUGACACUUGAUGAAUACGGCAAGGUGGAAAUGCAUGACAUGAUUCGUGCUAUGGGAAGAGAAAUUGUUCGCCAAGAAUCAGAAGAGCCUGAGAAACGUAGUAGAUUAUGGCACCAUAAGGAUUCUUUCCAAGUAUUGAGGAAAAAGAAUGUAAGAAACAUGCCUUUUAUGUCUAUAUAUGUAUUUCUUCUUGUGAAAAUUACGCAUAUUAAUGUCUCUUUUUUUUCCUUUAGGGUACAAAAAAAAUCCAAGGUCUUGUCCUGGAUAUGCGUAACCAUCCAGCAAACAGUCCAAUAAACACAAAUGAGAUAGUCUUGGAAACCAAUGCAUUUGCAAGGAUGUGCAAUUUACAACUACUCCAUCUUAGUCAUGUACGACUGGAUGGAUGUUAUGCAGAUUUCCCUACAGGAUUAAGAUGGUUGUGUUGGCUUGAAUUUCCUUUGGAUUCUAUACCAAUUGAUUUUCCUUUGGAGAACGUAAUUGUUCUUGAAAUGCAAUACAGUAGCUUGAGACAAGUAUGCAAAGGAACAAAAGUAUGUUACUCUAUGCAUUUCAAUUCAUUUUCCUUAUUUUGUUAGUUUUUUAUUUGUUGACCAACUCCAUGUGUUAAAAUGAACUACUAUGUUUUCUUUAAUUCGAUGACUAAUUUCUUAUGUUAGAUACUUAUUUCAUUGUUCUUUUUUCUUUUCUUUUUUUCCCUCUGUUUCCACAGUUUCUUCCAUCGUUGAAGAUCCUUGACGUCAGCCAUUCUCAUGGUCUUAGUGAAACCAUUGACUUCUCACGUUCCUCCAAUCUAGAGGAACUAAUUCUUGUAGAUUGCACAAGCCUGGAGAAUGUUCAUGAAUCCAUUGGAAACCUGGAGAGACUCGUGUACUUGAAUAUGAAGGAUUGCAAGAAUCUUAGGAAGCUUCCGAAGAACAUGUGCAAGCUUAAAUCACUUGAAAUACUCAUUUUAUCUGGUUGCUCAAAUCUUGAUGAGGUUCCAGUGGAGAUGAUGAAGAAGAUGGAGUCUCUGAAAGUUCUUGAGACGGAUGGAAUUCCAAUAGGUGAAUUGUGGCCAGAAAGAAGUUCAACUAUCUUGAGUUCUUUUCCGUGCUCUUUGGUAGAGUUAAGUCUGAAGGGGUGCAAUCUUUCUGAUGAUGUCUUUUCUACGGAUUUAAGUGCUCUAUCCUACUUGCGAAGACUACAUUUGGAUGAGAAUCCAAUUUGCAGUCUGCCAGUUUUCAUCAAAGGUUUGAGGAGGAUCGAUGAACUCUCUUUCAAGGGUUGUGAUAGGCUCGAAUCGCUUGUGGGGUUGCCGGAAGUACACCAAAGGCUAAGUAUAAAAGAAUGCAUAUCAUUAAAAAAAAUAACUUUUCAUUCCCCUGGGCAACAUUAUCUAACACGUGUAUUUUGCCAUGACAACCCGAAUCUUGUUGAGUGUGAGUGCUAUUACAAGUUAGAGCCUAUUGAUAGAGUUGAUGUGGAAAUGAUCAAACUUUUGGGCUUGUGCAACUUGGAAUCCAUGCCAGCUGUUCGAAUGCAUCAUCCACUCACAAACUGGGAUCUAAUAGAGGUCCCCGUCCAGGUGCGCCUCUUUUUCUCUCUCUCUCAUAAGUCUUAAAUAUAUAAUGGGAAAGAAAUGACUGAGUAAUGUUGUGAUGACUGUGGCAAAUACAUAGGGACUGUAUCAACAUGGUAUAUUCAGCACCUUUUUUGUUGGGAAUGAGGUUCCAGGCCUGUUCAGCUAUAAAAGUACCAAGUCCUCGAUAUCUUUUAUUGUCCCUUUACUACUUGCUAGUCACAGAAUUCGAGGCUUGAACAUCUUUGCUACCUAUGCAAAGGAAAAUUCAAAUAAUUAUUCUACUAGACCUAAUAUUGGUCCAAUAAUGAUCAAAGUGAGAAACAAGAGUAAGGGUCUGAAGUGGAUCUAUGACCCAUUUUUCUAUGGAAUCCCAAGUGACGGAGAAGAUAUGAUAUGGUUGAGCCAUUGGAAGAUGGAGAAUAAAACAAUAUUACAAUGUGGAGAUGAAGUGGUGGUUUCGGUAAUAACUGGACCACGUGACAUGUUUUGGGUCAAGGAGUUUGGUGUCGAGCUUGUGCAAGAGCACCAAGACAAGAUGAGUACCCAACACAACACCAAAUCUGAUCCUAAUUAUCCAUUUGUUAUUGAUGGAGAUUUGAAGAUGUUUGAGGACAGACCGGGAAAAUACUUCCUUGGCAGUUAUUUUAUAGAAGAAAUUGAUGACAUUGAUAUCCUCACCAUGGACUCUGAUGAAGAAGACACAAGUAUGUUGUGUUGUUGUAUUGCAUUGAAUUAUACUUCAUCCAAACACUUCCAGGUGUGUCCGUAUUCAUUUCAAAAACGUUUCCAAUAAAUUUUAUGUUAUUUGUAUGUUUUUCAGACAAAGAAGGGCAAGAGGAUGAACCUGAUUACACAAUUGCAAAGACGAGGGCUGCUAGCAAUAACUGCAGCCUGAGAGGCUGGAAGGUGCGCCUCACAGCUGUCGGCUUCUUUUUCGCGCUUGCUCUAGUAGGUUGGUCCUCCAUCUCCCAAAAAAAGAAGCGACAAUCGUCCACAAGCCCACCAUGAGUUUGUAAUUUGACUUCAAAUGUGCUUGCUCUAGUAGCUAAGCACUCUUAACCGCUUGAGAUAUAAAAGCCCAUUGCAACUAGAUACUGAACUUCAAAUGUGUUCAACGCCAUCAAAUAUAGCAUAAAAUACAUCCAGCAUUAGGUUCCAAGCCCACUAUUGAAAAUCAUGUUCAUCCACUCUACACAUCCAAGGCAGCAAACUAACUAGGAUACCAGGUUGGGAGGAUACAAUCAUUAACAAUUUCAAAAGCUAUAAAUGCAAUCCGAAUACAUGGCAAGUAGGGGUAAGCAUGUGAACAAAAAAAUCAGUGAACAUAAUCAAAUCCAAUACGUCAAUUUUGGCCUAGAUUGAAAUGAAAAAAACAAGGAAAUGCUUUGUGUAUCGAUUUGUUUAUGAAGGAAAUAAAACAUAUUUCAUGGAAAGAAAACCUGUGGUUACCUUUGUCUUCCUCUGCCAUUUGUCUAUCGAUUUGUUUCUGAAAGUGGCUAUUCUACAAGAUACAACAUGACAGGUCUUAGUUAGACCAAGUAAACGGCAUGGAAAUGCUUUCUGAAGCAAGAAUGUGUACUCAAGAGCUUUGUGCCAGAGAGGUCGUCGUACCCAGUGCACAAGGCUCCCGCUUUACGCAGGGUCUGGGAGAGGUGAAUGUCGGCUAGCCUUACCCCUAUUUAUGGAGAGGACUUAAGAAAAAUGAAAAAAACAAUAUAGAAUAUGGGUAAGAAUAAAUUUCGAUUAGACAAUAAUUCACUGUAUAAAUCGUUUUUUCAACUUUAAAGUGUGGCUUAAAAAGAAGCUUUAAACAAGUAGCAAUAAUUUCAUAUUGAAAAAUAAAACCUAUUUCAUGGAUAUUACAAGAGCCAUUAUUUUGAAAAACACACCUUUUGGUUCUUCACCACUUGACUUUUAAGAAGAUCUUCGUCCUUGUGACGAUUCAAAUUCUUUAAAAUAUCUCUACGACGGAAUAAACAAAACCAAUCUAGGCCAAAAUUGACUUGUUCGAUUUGAUUAUGUUCACUGAUUUUUCUGUUCACAUGUUUACCCCUACUUGCCAUAUAGUUUUGGGGUGUUAGUGCAUAGUGCUCUUCUCUUUACACACCAGUUUCAAUUUUAUUCUUCGUAAAUUAAGAGACCGUUUGAUAAUCAUUUCGUUUUCAAUUUAAAAAAUAUAAAAAACUAAAUGAAGUUUUCAACUAGAAUUUUCGCUUUUGGUUUUCAAUUUUAAUUUUUUUUAAAACAACUGAAAACUAAAAAUAGUUGCAAAAAGAAUUUUUCAUUUUUUUUUAAUUUAUAAAAAAGUAAAAACUGAAAACUCUAAACUAUAGACUAAAAAUUAAAAAGUGAAAUCGAAAUGGGCUCUCAACAAAAUUGAAAAAAGACUGGGCUGAAUUACUGAAUUCAAAGCAGGGCUUAUUAACGUUACGAGGCCCAAUGGAUCUGGAUAAAUAUUUUUCAUUUUUUUUUAACAAACGAUAUUAUUUAUAUAGGCUUAAUUUUACAGUGGGCUAACAAUAAUGUGGUUCAAAUUUGCUUUUCGCAAGAAUAGAACCUAAAACUUCUCACUUAUAAAUGAAGAGGAAUACCACUAAACCGUAGUCCUGAUAGAUUCGUUAUUUUAUUUUAUAUUUUAAGAAAAAAGAAAGAAAGCAAUGAAAAGCUGUACAUAAAAUAAAUACAAAAAGGAAUGAAAUGAAGAAGAGUGGGAGACUAAUGUUUAAUUCAAGAUAAAGAAAGAAAGCUGAUCGCACCACGACGGCGGCGACGUGGCGGUCAUUUAACGGAAAAUAACAGACAAAUCAGCCUCCAGAUCAAAUCUUGAAGCACAACUCUGAAAAAUCGAGACUACCAACAGCUGAGCUCCGACCAACCGUUGAUGGAUGCAAUCAGGAAGCUCAGAGAUCAGGUCGCCAAGCAACAGCAGGUACUCCCUCUCGUUUGAUUCCGAAUUUGUAUUUCUGUAUGGAUUUUGAUAUGAACAUAAUCUGCGUUGAUUGCGAGAUACUGAGAUUGCUUAAUGAAAUAAUAUUUAUAUAAUUGUUCGAGUUGAAUUGGAUCGAUUCGAAUUCAAAUAGAAUGUCACUAUUUCUGAGCUGUUUGGGGAUGUGUUGGAGUGCAAUGUUGAUGAAUUUCUGAAAUUUUGAGCUAGGUGUUGCUAAUUACUUAUCGAUUUUUGAUGUAAUUGGAUGCUUAAUUUUUACAUUUUCGGAAAACUUCAAACGAAAAUGGCAUAUAAUUCAACGUUCUAUGCUUCAUUAAUGCAUAAGAGUUGGUCGAAGCUUGAUCGAGUUUGCUUUUGGUUAUUUUGUGAACACCGUCAGGCUGUGUUCAAACAAUUUUCUGGUGGCAUAUAUGGGGGAUCGGAUAAUGUUGCCUCGGAUGAAAAUGAAUUUCAACAGCAUCAGAAACUCGAGAAGCUGUACAUAUCAACUCGUGCUGCCAAGGUUGCUACGCUUAUUUUUGUCUGUGCUUUAAACGAGCAUCACGUUAGUUGUGUUACCUAUCGUUUUUUUGCUUCAUCUUUAACAGCAUUACCAAAAGGAAAUUGUCCGCGGAGUGGAAGGUUACAUUGUGGCCGGUUCAAAGCACGUUGAAAUAGGUAUGUUGCUUGAAAUGCGUUGUCUUUUCUUUGGAGUUUGGAUAUGAAUUCAUGCUGGUUUUAUCAGUUGGUAUACAUAAUAUUUUUUCAACAGGUACCAAGCUAUCAGAAGAUAGCAGGAAAUAUGGUUCUGAAAAGACUUGCACCAGUGAUAACACAUUGUCGAGAGCUGCACUUAGUUUUGGAUGAGGUGGGGCCCAAAUGGAAAAAGAGUGCGGAGUUCUACUUAAAGCCCUUGGCACACAGGUUUAAGUCAAAUUAUUACUAACAGAGGCUAUUAAGUAAAAAUCAAAUAUUGCCAGGGCCGGCUUCAUACAAAUGGAAUUUCAACUGACUAAUUUUCGUGUGCAUUUGAUCAUUUCGAAAGAAAUUUACAGCAAAAAUUGUUUUCAUUUCCACGUCGUGGUUCAAGAAUUGGACUACUUUUUGUGUUUCUAUGCAUCGUAUGACAAACUGGCUCACCAUUUCUUUCUAUAGGUUUGCAUAAUAACUCUUUGUGUGCUUAUCAAUUUGCCUGUGUAGGUUGCAUAGCCUUUAUAGUGGGAGCGCCCAUGGAGGAUGCUCGACAUCUUGCUCAACGUUAUGCUAGAAUGCGGCAAGAAGCUGAAGCUCAGGUAUAUGCAGUUUCUUCUGUUUCCUACCAAUUUUAUUCUACAGUGAUUUUAUAUCCAAAACAAGCAUUGACUUGGCUGUCCAUCCAUCAAUAGCAGGUCCACAUCUCAACCCAAAUAUAAUGACGUCAAAGGAGAGGGGAAAAUGAGAAGGAAACUCUGGAGGGUAGAGGGAAGGAAAAGGGGAAAAGGAGAAAGGGAGAAGGGAAAAGUAGAACGGGAAGGAGGAAAAUGAGAGGAAAUUUCGGAGAAUAGAGAAAGGGAGAAGGGAAAAGAAGAAAAGCAGAAAAGAAGGGAAAAGGGGAAGGAAGCUUAGGAGGCUAGAGAAAAAGAUGGAAAUGCAUAAAAAUAAAAAAAUAAAAAAGGAAAGUCGCCUUCAUCAUUAUGUCUACUAACGGAAAGGAGCAACCACAUUGUAAAUUAUAUUUUGUAUAAUGAGAAACCAGUAUUCCUACCCUGAGGGUAUAGACACAACUUGCUGAAUCUCGUUACUAUACAGCAAGUUUAUAAUUGCACAAUAAUUCGAUCAAUCAUCUUAAGUUCAACCAUACAUGUAACAAGAUUUAAGUUUUUCCAAACUUUCCUUAUGAAGGUAACUGAACAUUACAAGUGUCACGUUAUUAUGCGAUUCUAUCAAGUUUUAAUUUUUGUCUCAUAACCACAUUACAAGUGCCACGUUAUUUAUUUUAUCCUUUAUUUUAUCUUUAUUAUUAAAACUUAAAAUUUUCAUAUUUUUUUAUUAAUUUUUUUUUAUAAAAUCACACGUAAAACAAGAAGUAAUCUUUUCUUUUUCUUUUCAUCUCUGCCACUAGCGGCCGACCAUGACUUAAAGAAACGCUUUUUGGAUGGGUCAAUGUAUGGGAACGACCCAUUUUAUAUGUUACAUGGUUGUGCAAUUAAAAGUGCAUUUUAUCAUAAAAAUGUGAGCAACGAUCAAUAUAAUUGUUAUUUAUAAAAUCACACAAAACACAAGAAGGAAUCUUUUCUUUUUCUUUUUCAUCUCUGCCACUACCAGCCGACCAUGACUUAAAAGAAACGCUUUUUGGUUCAAUGGAUGGGAACGACCUAUUUUAUAAUAAGAAAAAUUAAUUAAAAAAAUUUAAAAAUUUUAAGUUUUAAUAAUAAAAAGAUGUUGUAAAUAAAUAGUACAUAAUUGAUUUUUUUAGUAAAAGUAUAAUUUUUUAUUAAAAUUUCGUUCAAAUCCCCUUUAUAAUAUUGUUUGUAAAUUUUUCUGGAAGUAGAUGGAAAUGACCCAAUUACAUAUUUCCCCUGCUCACAGACAUUUUCAUUGCACCUAGAAAACCAGUUUUUUGUUAGAAAAUCGAUCCACAUCAAUGGCUCUUGUGAGAACAUCUCCAGGAACCUCCUCUGAUUCCAACACUUUUCGGAGUUAUCGCUACGACGUGUUCUUGAGCUUCAGAGGCGAAGAUACUCGCAAGACUUUUACCGACCACCUCUACACAGCCUUGAACAACGCAGGAUUUCUUACGUUCCGAGACGACGAUGAACUUGAGAGAGGAGAAGAUAUAAAGCCAGGACUGCAGAAAGCGAUCCAGCAGUCACGAACUUCUGUUGUCGUGUUUUCGAAAGAUUACGCUUCAUCCAGUUGGUGUCUUGAUGAGCUUGUGCUGAUCCUUGAACGCAAGAGGACCACCUCGGACCAUGUAGUUUUACCAGUCUUCUACGAUGUCGAUCCGUCCCACGUGAGGAAGCAGACAGGAAGUGUUGGAAAAGCAUUUGCUAGAAGCCAGAAAAAUCAGUCGCCGGAAAAGGUGCAGGGAUGGAGGAAGGCACUUGCAGAGAUUGCAGACCUAGCAGGCAUGGUCUUACAAAAUCAAGCUGAUGGGUAACUUUCAUUAUCUCCAUUUCUCAUCUUUCCUGGGUGAAUUUGAUGUAUGAUCCGUAAUGACCUAGAUUUUUAUAUGUUUAUUAAUUCAAUCUCAGUAGUGAAUAAUAAUCUCAAUUUAGGUCAACUUAAAGAAAUCACACUCAACUCAACUUAAGGAUUAGUCAUUUUCCAUGUUAAUCUACUGGUUUCCAGUUGCUUAAAUUUUUUUGAAAGCUGGUGUGGAAAAAGGUUAGGAUGUGAUCUGUCUAUAGUUCGUGUAAAUUAUGCGCUGUAUUCCUUUUUUUUUUCAAUUUAAUUUUGUCAGCAGUCCUCUUUUUUUUUUCUUAUUUAAAAAGGCAAUCAACAUAUGUUUUAAUUAUCUAAUUUCCCCAAUUCAUUUUUCAUUUUGUUUGCAAAUUCUUAGGUACGAGUCAAAGUUUAUCAAAAAAAUUGUUGAAGUGAUAGGAGACAAGUUAUGUCGUACGUCGUUGAGUGUUGAACCAAAAUUGAUUGGAAUUCAAUCUCAAGCCGAACGCAUCAAUUUGUGGUUACAAGAUGGAUCAAGUCAUGUUGGUAUAUUUGUUGUGUAUGGCAUGUCUGGAAUAGGGAAGACAACCAUUGCAAAACAUGUUUACAAUUCAAACUUUGGAAGCUUUCAAGGAAGUAGUUUCAUUGAAAAUAUCAAAGAAACAGCAGAUCGACCAAAUGGCUUAGUUCAAAUACAAAUGCAACUUCUUUGUGAUAUUUUGAACGGCAGAGAAGUGAAAAUACACAGUGUUAGUGAGGGAAUAAUUAAGAUUGAAAGGGCCAUAAGCACUAGAAGAGUUCUACUUGUUCUUGAUGAUGUUGACCAAAUGGACUAAUUCGAUGCAAUCCUAAGGAUGAAGGAUCAGUUUUAUCCUGGAAGUAAGAUACUAAUAACAACUAGGCGUGAAAGGCUGCUAAAGGCAGAUCAAGUUACAGAGGUGCACAGAGUUCAAACUUUGGAUUACAAUGAAUCAUUAAAGCUUUUCAGUUGGCAUGCUUUUGGCCAGGACCAUCCCAUAGAAGAAUACAUGGAGCACUCAAAACAGCUAGUGCAACAUAGCGACGGACUUCCAUUAGCUCUAAAAGUUUUGGGUUCUUCUUUAUCAGGGGAAAGUAUAGGUGUAUGGGAAAGUGCAUUGGAGAAGCUAAAAGUUAUUCCUGAUGGUGAAAUCAUAAACAAACUAAGAAUAAGCUAUGAAAGUUUAAAAGAUGACCAUGACCGGAAAUUAUUCCUCCACAUUGCUUGUUUCCUAAUAGGAAGGAACAAAACCUACAUUGUUAGAAUAUUCGAUGGAUGUGAUUUCUAUACAAUCAUUGGCAUUCAAAAUCUCAUUGAUAGAUGCUUGGUGACAUUUGAUGAACACGGCAAGGUGAAAAUGCAUGACAUGAUUCGUGCUAUGGGAAGAGAAAUUGUUCGCCAAGAAUCAGAAGAGCUUGAGGAACGUAGUAGAUUAUGGCGCCAUAAGGAUUCUUUCCAAGUAUUGAGGAAAAAGAAUGUAAGAAACAUGCCUUUUAUGUCUAUAUAUGUCUUUCUUCUUGUGAAAAUUAUGCAUAUUAAUGUCUUUUUUUUUUCCUUUAGGGUACAAAAAAAAUCCAAGGUCUUGUCCUGGAUAUGCGUAAUCAUUCUGCAAACAGUCCAAUAAACACAAAUGAGAUAGUCUUGGAAACCAAUGCAUUUGCAAGGAUGUGCAAUUUACAACUACUCCAUCUUAGUCAUGUACGACUGGAUGGAUGUUAUGCAGAUUUCCCUACAGGAUUAAGAUGGUUGUGUUGGCUUGAAUUUCCUUUGGAUUCUAUACCAAUUGAUUUUCCUUUGGAGAACGUAAUUGUUCUGGAAAUGCAAUACAGUAGCUUGAGACAAGUAUGCAAAGGAACAAAAGUAUGUUACUCUAUGCAUUUCAAUUCAUUUUCCUUAUUUUGUUAGUUUUUUAUUUGUUGACUAACUUCGUGUGUUAAAAUGAACUACUAUGUUUUCUUUAAUUCAAUGACUAAUUUCUUAUAUUAGAUACUUAUUUCAUUGUUAUUUUUUCUUCUUUUUUUUCCCUCUGUUUCCACAGUUUCUUCCAUCGUUGAAGAUCCUUGACGUCAGCCAUUCUCAUGGCCUUAGUGAAACCAUUGACUUCUCACUUUUCCCCAAUCUAGAGGAACUGAUUCUUGUAGAUUGCACAAGCCUGAAGAAUGUUCAUGAAUCCAUUGGAAGCUUGGAGAGACUCGUGUACUUGAAUAUAAAGGAUUGCAAGAAUCUUAGGAAGCUUCCGAAGAACAUGUGCAUGCUUAAGGCCCCGUUUGGGAUUGAGGUGAUUUUAAAAAAAGCCACUGUCAAAAAAAGCUGAGGAUCAUUUUUGUGUUUGGUAAACUGAAAAAAAAGGGCUUAUUUUGGAAGCUGCUGUGAGAAUAAGCUGAAAAUCAAAGAAAAAGCUGAAGCUGCUAUUUGCUGCUUUGAAAAAAAGCCAGUUUUUUCAAAGCACACGGAGCUACAGUGCUCCUUUAAUGAAAAGACACACUAUCAUCCUGCUUUUUUUUCCAAAAGCACUUUCACAAAAAAGUUUACCAAACACUCUACUGGCUUUAUUUCACAGCCGCUUAUUCUCACAGCACAGCUGCUUAUUCUUACAGCAGCUUUUUUUCAAAGCACAGCAAUACCAAACCAGCCCUAAAUCACUUGAACACUCAUUUUAUCUGGUUGCUCAAAUCUUGAUGAGUUUCCAAUGGAGAUGAUGAAGAUGGAGUCUCUGAAAGUUCUUGAGACAGAUGGACUUCCAAUAGGUAAAUUGUGGCCAGAAAGAAGUUCAACUAUCUUGAGUUCUUUUCCAUGCUCUUUAGUAGAGUUAAGUCUGAAGGGGUGCAAUCUUUCUGAUGAUGUCCUUCCUACGGAUUUAAGUAAUCUAUCCAAUUUGCAGUCUGCCAGUUUUCAUCAAAGGUUUGAGGAAGAUCGAUGAACUCUCUUUCAAGGGUUGUGAUAGGCUCGAAUCGCUUGUGGGGUUGCCGGAAGUACACCAAUGGCUAAGUAUAGCCGGAUGCAUAUCAUUAAAAAAAAUAACUUUUCAUUCCCCUGAGCAACCGUAUCUAGUACGUGGGGGUGACAACUCGAAUAACUGUAAUUGCUGUUACAAGUUACAGCCUUUUGAUAGAGUUGAUGUGAAAAUGAUCAAACUUAUGGGCUUGUGCAACUUUGAAUCCAUGCCAGCUGUUCAAAUGCGUAAUUCAUACACAUACAGGGAUCCAAAAGAGGUCCCCGUCCAGGUGCGCCUCUCUUUCUCUCUCUCAUAAGUCUUAAAUAUAUAAUGGGAAAGAAAUUACUGAGUAAUGUUGUGAUGACUGUGGCAAAUACAUAGGGACUGUAUCAAUUUGGUGUAUUCAGCACUUUUUUUGUUGGGAAUGAGGUUCCAGGCCGGUUCAGCUAUAAAAGUACGAAGUAUUCGAUAUCUUUUAUUGUCCCUUUACUACUUGCUAGUCACAGAAUUCGAGGCUUGAACAUCUUUGCUACCUAUGCAAAGGAAAAUUCAAAUAAUUAUUCUACUGGACCUAUUAUUGUUCCAAUAAUGAUCAAAGUGAGAAACAAGAGCAAGGGUUUGAAGUGGAUCUAUUGCCCAUUAUCCUAUGGAAUCCCAGGUGACGGAGAAGAUAUGAUAUGGUUGAGCCAUUGGAAGAUGGAGAAUAAUACAAUAUUACAAUGUGGAGAUGAAGUGGUGGUUUCGGUAAUAACCGGACCACGUGACUUGUUUUUGGUAAAGGAGUUUGGUGUCGAGCUUGUGCAAGAGCACCAAGACAAGAUGAGUACCCAACACAACACCAAAUCAGAUCCUAAUUAUCCAUUUGUUAUCGGUGGAGAUUUGAAGACGUGGAAGUGCAAACCAGGAAUAUACUUCCUUAGCUGUAGGAGACGAGAAGAUACUGACGACAUUGAUAUCCUCACCAUGGACUCUGAUGAAGAAGACACAAGUAUGUUGUGUUGUUGUAUAGCAUUGAAUUAUACUCCAUCCAAACACUUCCGGGUGUGUCCGUAUUCAUUUCAAAAACAUUUCCAAUAAAUUUUAUGUUAUUUGUAUGUUUUUCAGACAAAGAAGGGCAAGAGGAUGAACCUGAUUACACAAUUGCAAAGACGAUGGCAGCUAGCAAUAACUGCAGCCUAAGAGGAUGGAAGGUGCGCCUCACAGCUGUCGGCUUCUUUUUCGCGCUUGCUCUAGUUGGUUGGUCCUCCAUCUCGCAAAAAAAGAAGCGACACUCGUCCACAAGCCCACCAUGAGUUUGUAAUUUGACUUGAUAUAGAUAUAUCUUUGCAUUCCUUGCUCUCAAGAUGUUUUCUACCUUCGAAACUUCAAGUUUAGAGCUAAGCACUUUAACCGCUUGAGAUAUAAAAGCCCCUUGCAACUAGAUACCGAAGUUCAAAUGUGUUCAAC
rnacentral:lncRNA from 1 species